rnacentral:lncRNA from 1 species
GAGGCCUGGAUAUCUCCCUCAGUAAACCAUUGCUGGACACUAAGAAGGAGGCCCUCCAGUCUGGGUCAGUGCUGCUACUGCUUAAGUAAUAAGGCUGGAGGCUGGGCUGUCUUUAGUCUCCAGCUCUAGGAGGCACAGGUGCACUGAAAGGUGAGACCUUUGGCAAGUGCACCCAGGGAGACCCAUUGUCAUCUAAAUUGAAAUAGACUUCAUUGUCACUGGGUGUCUGGUCAGGGUGUUUUCAUGUCUCUGCAGGGUCUUGAGCAGCAUUGUGAAUGAGAGAGACCUCACUGUGAUAUCUGCAACUCUGUGUCACUCCUGCCAUACCAACCCCACCUGUGUGCCUGGCUUAGGUGGGCAGUGCCCUGCAACGCUCUGACAGCUUGCAAAAGGCACAGCUAGAAGCUUGUCUGUUGGUCUUUGCCCCUCAGCUCUGAGCCAUAUCUCCUGGGGGUUGGGCCACCCACCAUAUGUUGGUAGACUUACUUGAUGCUCAGCCUGCAUAGUGGAAGCAUGUGGUCCUGAAUGCUGGCACACUGUCACUGUGGCUGGGGUGACUGUCACUCUCAUGUCCUGUGGUUGUAUGGUAUGGAUUCAUUAAAUUGCACUCACAGGGUCCUGCAGCUGAAGCACACUUGAGGCUUCAGGAUUGGCUUUGGCUUUAGGACCCAACAGUCUCUGUUGAUUAUAGGCUUGUAAUCUAGGCUAUCUGUGGAAACCUGCUUUCCCACAGGGAGCCUUUCCUUGGCAGAAGUGGCUGCAGAACUAAACUCAGAAACGCUGCAGCAGCUGAAGCGGGAGUGUGGAGGCCUACAGACCCUGCUCAGGAAUAGCCAUCAGGUGUUUGAAGUUCUGAAUGGGCGAGUUCACAUCCGUGACUGGCGGCGGGAGCUGCAGAGGGAAAAGCCUCCAGAAGGCAAGAGGAGCCUGUCUGCAGAGGUGUUCAAGACUCGAAUCUGCUGGUUCUUCACUCACCACCCUGAUGGUUGUGUACUGCCUGCUGCCUGUUGCCCCUUUGCGCAUGGGCUGGAAGAGCUGCGCCCGUCUCAGACCUUGAAGAAGCAGAGGCAGGCUCCCUGAGUCACCUCUUCAGUGUUCUCUAGCUGUUGGGUUCUGUGGCUCUCCUGCCUGUCUCCCUUAUCCUGAUGACAU